UGAAAGCCCCCGGCUUCAACCGGGGAGGGUCAUUGGAAACUGGGGAACUUGAGUGCAGAAGAGGAGAGUGGAAUUCCACGUGUAGCGGUGAAAUGCGUAGAGAUGUGGAGGAACACCAGUGGCGAAGGCGACUCUCUGGUCUGUAACUGACGCUGAGGAGCGAAAGCGUGGGGAGCGAACAGGAUUAGAUACCCUGGUAGUCCACGCCGUAAACGAUGAGUGCUAAGUGUUAGGGGGUUUCCGCCCCUUAGUGCUGCAGCUAACGCAUUAAGCACUCCGCCUGGGGAGUACGGUCGCAAGACUGAAACUCAAAGGAAUUGACGGGGGCCCGCACAAGCGGUGGAGCAUGUGGUUUAAUUCGAAGCAACGCGAAGAACCUUACCAGGUCUUGACGUCCUCUGACAAUCCUAGAGAUAGGACGUCCCCUUCGGGGGCAGAGUGACAGGUGGUGCAUGGUUGUCGUCAGCUCGUGUCGUGAGAUGUUGGGUUAAGUCCCGCAACGAGCGCAACCCUUGAUCUUAGUUGCCAGCAUUCAGUUGGGCACUCUAAGGUGACUGCCGGUGACAAACCGGAGGAAGGUGGGGAUGACGUCAAAUCAUCAUGCCCCUUAUGACCUGGGCUACACACGUGCUACAAUGGACAGAACAAAGGGCAGCG
rnacentral:rRNA from 1 species